GACGAAUGCUGGCGGCGUGCUUAACACAUGCAAGUCGAACGAAGAGCGAUGGAAGCUUGCUUCUAUCAAUCUUAGUGGCGAACGGGUGAGUAACGCGUAAUCAACCUGCCCUUCAGAGGGGGACAACAGUUGGAAACGACUGCUAAUACCGCAUACGAUCUAAUCUCGGCAUCGAGGAUAGAUGAAAGGUGGCCUCUACAUGUAAGCUAUCACUGAAGGAGGGGAUUGCGUCUGAUUAGCUAGUUGGAGGGGUAACGGCCCACCAAGGCGAUGAUCAGUAGCCGGUCUGAGAGGAUGAACAGCCACAGUGGGACUGAGACACGGCCCAGACGCCUACGGGAGGCAGCAGUGGGGAAUCUUCCGCAAUGGACGAAAGACUGACGGAGCAACGCCGCGGGAGUGAUGACGGCCUUCGGGUUGUAAAGCUCUGUUAAUCGGGACGAAAGGCCUUCUUGCGAAUAGGGAGAAGGAUUGACGGUACCGGAAAAGAAAGCCACGGCUAACUACGUG
rnacentral:rRNA from 1 species